CGGUGCCGGAUCCCACAGUUGAUGAGGCCACCAAGAAGCUGAACGAGACGAUCAACGCGGGAAGCUUCAAGGUGUACCUCGACAUCUCUGGCUCGGACCAGAAACCAGAGUACGUCGCCACGCAGCUGAUGACUCGAUACAUGGCUGCGGCGCCCGACGCUUCGUCUCAAGGAUAUUCCAGCGGGAGCAUGGCGGCGCUGGGCAUCAUGAUGAUUCUUCUGGGCGCUGCCAUCGCGGUGGGAGCCGUCUAUCUG